UACAAAAUAGAGAAUGACCUCUCAGAGGUUGACUCUUGUGAGAAGAGUUAACAGUGGGGUUCUGUUUUCAAGACAGAGAACAAAAUUGUUUUCUCUUUUUAAAGAGCAGAUUGUAUAUUCAAGGGUCAAAAUAAUAUUCAUCUGAACUAUUCACUCUCUGUCUUCAUUAUUCAUAAGCUUUUUUCAUUUAACAUCUUUAAUAUACUUUAUAUGCAUUUUUAUUAAAUAUACAUAUGUAGUUAGUUUUAACUUCAGCUUUUUAAAAUAAAUAUUGAUAAAUUAAAUAUCAUUGUAUUAUCUAAAGCAAUAUACAUCAUAUAAAUUUACCGUCUUAAUUUGAGCUUUGCAAAGAGCAAAUAUGCUAUUAUAGAGUGGUCUAUCACUUCUAUAAUCUCUGUUCUUAUUUAUGCAUUUUAGUUACCAAAGAUUUCAUGUGACAACAUUAUUUACUACCUUAAUUGAAUAUUAGUCAUAGGUCUUGAAGACAAUCACGGAUCUCAAAAAUUAUAUUUAAAGUGUGAUAUAAUCAUUGUUGAUUUUAAAAAUCGAAGGUACAAUAUUUAAAAAUCACAUGCAGGGCUGGGCAUGUUGGCUCACGCCUGUAAUCCCAGCACUUUGGGAGGCUGAGGCAGGUGGAUCACCCAAAGUCAGGAAUUUGAGACCAGCCUGGCUAACAUGGCAAAACCCUCUCUCUACUAAAAAUACAAAAAUUAGCUAGGGGUGGUGGUGCAUACCUGUAAUCUCAGCUACUCGGGAGGCUGGGGUAGAAGAAUCGCUUAAACCCAAGAGGGCAAGGUUGCAGUGAGCCAAGAUCGCACUAUGGCACUCCAGCCUGGGAGACAGAGCCAGACUCCAUCUCAAAAAAAAAAAAAAAAAUUCACAUGGAAGGGCUGGGUGUGGUGGCUCAUGCCUGUAAUCCCAGCACUUUGGGAGGCCGAGGAAGGUGGAUCGCUUGAGCUCAGAAGUUCUAGACUGGGCCAAGGCAGCACAGUGAGACCCUGUCUCUCAAAAAAAAAAAAAAAAAAAAUCACAUGCGGAUAGCAAGAGUGAACUGUUUUACACUAUUAUUUCAGGUUUACAGGAACAAAUCUUUUUAGAAAACAGCAGUUGCUAUUUAAUUUAGUUAAAUACAUAUAUUUAUAUUUUUAUGCCUUUACAUAUUUUGUGUAAAGAGUGAUAAUUUAUCUGACCCAUGAAAUCAACAGAGGAAAUUUAGAAAGUAUAAAAUAAUGAGAUCAGAGAGAAGACAAAUAGAUGUUUUUGAAUAUACUGUGUUUUGAAUAUAUUGUGUGUACUAACAUACUGUGUUCAAGUAUUCAUAUUAAAUGGGAAUAUAACACUUGAAGUUCUUUUUUCUUUUCAGAGUUGGGGUCUCACUGUCACCCAGGCUGAAGUGAGCAAUCAUGACUCACUGCAGCCUCAAACUCCUGGUCUCCAGUGAUCCUCCAACUUCAGUCUCCUGAGUAACUGGGACUACAGGCAUGCACCACCAUGCCCAGCUAGUUUAUUCUUUUUUUUUUUUUUUUUUGUAGACACGGGAGCUCUCUAUGUUGCCCAGACUGGUUUCAAACUCCUGGCCUCAAGCAAUCCUCCCACCUCUGCUUCCCAUCACAGGCUUGAGCCACUGAGCCUGGCCACCCAUGAUGUUCUCCAUACAAUUUGUAUACCUCUGCAUUUACCAACCAAAUGUUACAGUUCAUUUAAAUUGUACUGCUGGGCGUGGUGGCUCAUGCCUGUAAUCCCAGCACUUUAGAAGGCCGAAGAGGGCAGAUCAUGAGGUCAGGAGUUCAAGACCAGCCUGGCCAACACAGUGAAACCCCCGUCUCUACUGAAAACACAAAAAUUAGCCAGGCCUGGUGGCGUGCGCCUGUAGUCUCAGCUACUAAGGAGGCUGAGGCAGGAGAAUCGCUUCAACCUGGGAGGCAGAGGUUGCAGUGAGCCGAGAUUGCGCCACUGCACUCCAGCCUGGGUGACAGAGCGAGACUCCAUCUCAAAAAAUAUAUAUAAAAUAAAUUGUACUUAAUAGUACUGACGUUUUCUUUCUUUUUUUUUUUUUUUUUUUUUUGGCGUUUUGGUUUAUCUAGUUAUCUAGCUGUUUAGUCAUUGUUAUUUAUGGACUCUCUUGGCCACUUCUGUAAGACAAGGACUUAUACUGAAAGACUAACACCCUUAAAACAUUAGAAGUUUAUUUUGUCACCCAUCCCAAUUUUGUUUUGCUUUUUGUUUUUGCCCUCUGUCCUAUUUUAAAUUGGUGCUUCUUAAAGUUCUGUAGGCCAAAUUAAUAAGAGGAACUUCAUCUAAUUCCGAACUCAGAGUUCAAGGGGAGGUAAAAGACCAAUUUAAAUGGAUAAGCCUAUGUACCUCUGCCCCUACCUGGACCACCUGAGUUGUGAAGUAUGCUGGUCACUUUCUCUGAUCAUUUUCUGCUUGUGAGCAGGAGUCAUUUUUGGAGAGAUGGCAGGACCCUGUAGUAGUGGUCAGGAAUUACGGAUCUGCCCGGAUAGCAAAUGCCAGUGCUGAGUUUGUAUCUUAGGUGGUGAGACAGUAUUUCUCUGCUCCAUGACAGGGGUCUGGGUAAUACCUGCCCAUAACCCAUCUGCCAUCUUUGGCUCAGUUUAUUUCCUCUGAUCUGUCAAUCUCUCCAUUGACAGGUGAAAGGCUGACUUCAUCAGCAUGACAUGGAUCACAUUUUUGAAGAGCUGGUAAAAUAGCCUCAUUGUUUAAACGAAUGUGUUUUUGUUCAAUUCUUGUUGUCAGAGAAUUUGUUCCUGAGUGUCCUGCCUGAGUCUUCAGAAACACAAUUUACUGUAUUCUAUGGGAUAAUUUAUGGGGGUUUUUGGUGGGGUUUUUUUUUUUUUUUUCAAAAGUGUCACUUGCCAAGCUUUGUUUUUGUUUGAUUAGUGUACAGUAGUCUCCCUUAGCCAGGGUUUCACUUUCCAUGGUUUCAGUUACCCACAGUCAAGUGCCUUCCACUAAUAGGUGAGUACAGUACAAUAAGAUAUUUUGAGACACAGACUACAUUCACAUAACUUUUAUUUCAGUAUAUUCUUAUAAUUGUUCAUUUUAUUAUGAGUUAUUGUUGUUAAUAUCUUACUAUGCUUAAUUUAUGUUGAUUUUUUACUGUUCCUUGUGUAAUACAGUCUUGUAUAUACUUUCUGAGUUACUUUGUCCAUUGACUCCUGUUAUAUGGCCUCAGAUAUUUAUUUAAGGUGAGGGUUGGGCUACGUGGCAAUGUUCUUUUUGCUUGUGUGUUUGUUUUGUUGGUUGGGUUUUUUGUUUUUUUAAUCUUUAAACAUUUUUUAGAGAUAGGGUCUCACCGUGUUGCCCAGGCUGGAGCACAGUGGCCAUUCACAGGCGCAAUCACAGUACACUGCAGCCUUGAAUGCUUGAGCUCAAACGACCUCCCACUUCAGUCUACUGAGUAACUGAGACUACAGGCACGAAGCAUGCCUGGACUUUUCUUUCUUUUUUUUUAAUUUUUAUUAUUUUUUGCUAGAUUUUGCCACCCUUUUGCCAUCAGCUUCCCAGUUUGUAGUCUGUCAAUGUGCAGACCAGGUAGUUAACACCAUUUGGUAUUGUUCAGGAAUCAGUGUAAAAUAUGUCGCCAGUUAUGUCUUUGAGCAUAGCUUGUAAUUCAGCCAACUUGACACAUUUCUCCACCUUUGGCUAAGCCUGGCCAGGCUCAGUCCCUGGGAGUUUCAGCAGAGCAUACCCAGGGCCUCAGGCACUGCCUGUCUGAGAGCUUUGAACAGGGAGGGCCCAAAUCCGCAGGGCCUUCCCCUCAAGGAUCUUCCCACCCCCUAACCCCUCCAAGCUUUGUUAGACCCCAGCAGGCCCACAGCAAAUGGCACACCACAGGUUCUCAGCCCCUUCUGUGAUGUCAUUCUUCAUUUUACCUGAGUAGAGAGGCUGUUAUCCCCACUGUGUCUGGCUGGGGGUAAAUCCAACCCAUUGCCCUUGUAGUGUUCAGUGUUGCUGGCUAGUUUCCAGUUUGUUGUAAUGCCCAGUAUACUAUUGUAGCAUGUGUGUGGUGUGGGGUGUGUGUGUGUAUGUUUGUGUAUCUGUGUAAAUCAAUGUAUCAAUGUAUUUGAUUCAGACUGUCCAACCACCUACUUGUUGAUGUCAGAGGCAAGAAAGCACAGUUAUCCAAAAUAGUGAUUUCCAGGUAAAGGGAUGGGGAGAAUAGGAGGGAGGUGAGACCAGCUUGCUCAGGUGGGUCAAGGGUGAGCUGUUGUGAGAGUCUUCUCCCAAUGUCCCAGGUCUUCCAGUAAUUGCAUAAAGAGGUUACCCGAGGUUAAAAUAUAUGUCUCCAGUACUUAAAUGUCUCUCUG
rnacentral:lncRNA from 10 species